ACAGGAGGAGACAAAAGUUGUAGGAAAGAUUAAAAUCCUGACUGCACUGCAGUCAGUAAUAAAAUUGCCACUGCCUGCUGCAAUAGAAACAGGAUUUGCCCUUAUGUAAAUAUACCACGUCUGUGCCGGUUCUCCUUCAGGCACAACCAGCGCCCCGGUGACGAGGACUGCAGCAAACAGCAGCAGGCAAAACCUGAUGAUGGAGGAAUUAGUGCUAGAACUGGGUCGUUUCUGCUGCUCCAGAGCGUUUGCAGUUUACAAGCCGGGGGAAGGAACUGUUUGAACGGUCCUCUGGCACAAGAAAGCUGGGAAAUCUCGGCAGGCUGUGGAAGGCCCCAGACCCAAGCCUCCCGCAUCCAAGAUUCCCAGUGUUCUCCUCCACAUCUUCUUCAUUGGGAUCCCUAUCUAAGCUGCACAGCACCCAGCACUGGACACAGUACACCGGCUGAAGCUUUCCUGGGAUGACAAAAGUGGAAGAAUUGCUCACAAUAACCUACAGCCUGUAUUCCUAUUCCUGCAUCCUUGUGUGGCAUUUAGUAUCUUUGCCUGACAUGGGAGGCUUGGGUUCAAAGCCUUCUAUAAGCUUAUAGAUAUCACCUACAGCAGAAUUUCAAACAGUCAACGCUUAAGCUUUGAAAGCUAAAUGUUAAGGUGGGCUUUGAAUCAGAUGCCUCUCUUAAUGUGCACAUGUUUAUGUUGAUCAUCUAUUUCAUGUAGUUGCCAAAGUGUUUUAGAAAAGUCUGGAGGACAUUUGCUAAAAUAGGACCCAUUUAGGGGGAAAUAACAGGAGACAGUCUCUAAGAGUUGUUGUUUAAACAAUCUUAUCUCAAUUUCUGUUUCUCUGCGGGAGGCAGAAAUGCAAGAAAAUGAGUACAGAUGAGAAAAAUAAAAUUAAGCAUCCUGGGUUUUAUCACAUGUUUGUGAGCUUGAGUAAAAUUCAAAGACACAUAAAUUUCCCGUGGCAUCAGAACCAACCCUUUCAUUUCUAAUUUGUUUCAAAAAUAAAC